GAAUAUUGCGCAAUGGAGGAAACUCUGACGCAGCCACGCCGCGUGCAGGAUGACACCCCUAUGGGGCGUAAACUGCUUUUAUACGAGAAGAACGCCUGGUUCUGCCAGGUUUGACGGUACCGUAUGAAUAAGCACCGGCUAACUCCGUGCCAGCAGCCGCGGUAAUACGGAGGGUGCAAGCGUUGUCCGGAAUCACUGGGUGUAAAGGGUGUGUAGGCGGACCUGUAAGUCAGAAGUGAAAUCCCACGGCUCAACCGUGGAACUGCUUUUGAUACUGCAGGUCUUGAGUAUCGGAGAGGUUGCUAGAAUUCGUGGUGUAGCGGUGAAAUGCGUAGAUAUCACGAGGAAUACCAGAGGCGUAGGCGGGCAACUGGACGAUUACUGACGCUGAGGCACGAAAGCGUGGGGAGCAAACAGG
rnacentral:rRNA from 1 species